AGGUUGCAAGGGGGACCUUUUGUUCUUCGGUUAGGUCUAGUAUAGAGAAUAGCUUUUCUAUUUGUAAGAUCUAGCAUUUGACUACUAAAGGAUCAAUGCCACCUUCAAAGUGUGGAGGUUUAAGUUUCCUAAACUCCGCUAUAUUAUGGGAGAUAGACCGAUCUGGGUUUCAGAAUUCAGGGGCUGGAGGUGAACAAGGGUUGACUUGGUUUUGUCCUACGGUUGUAGUUAAUCCUUGAACGGCUCAAAAAGGUUAUGCAAAUUCAGCCCUGGUUGGAUGAUCAGGGGCUUCAGGUUGUUCAGUACGCUCUACAGAUGGUCUUCUUCACGUCAUUCCUGCAAAAGAAAGGAAGACACGAGUUGGAGGUUUAAUCUUUGAAAUGAGGACAUUUAUCUUUUCUAGGUACUCUAAAUGGUUUAUGUAUCAUAGACCAUAGUGUAAGGGAUUUGUUCCACGAUAUUCUACUCUGAUACCACAUGUGACAUCCCAAGUGCCAGUUAAGGCAAUUGGGUGUCAGAUAUAGAUUCAGAAUAAUAAGUGCAUGAUAAUAUUUAUGCAACAAAAUCAAGACUUUAACAAAUUCCUUAUAGAUACAUAUAUAUAGUUCCAAAUACAUACAU
rnacentral:lncRNA from 1 species